rnacentral:rRNA from 1 species
UACGUAGGGUGCAAGCGUUGUCCGGAAUUAUUGGGCGUAAAGAGCUCGUAGGCGGUUUGUUGCGUCGGCUGUGAAAACCCGGGGCUCAACUCCGGGCCUGCAGCCGAUACGGGCAGACUAGAGUUCGGCAGGGGAGACUGGAAUUCCUGGUGUAGCGGUGAAAUGACGCAGAUAUCAGGAGGAACACCGGCGGCGAAGGCGGGUCUCUGGGCCGAAACUGACGCUGAGGAGCGAAAGCGUGGGGAGCGAACAGG